AGCGAGCCCUGCCAUGGUCCGUCUACGAGGUGGCUGCAUUGGGGAAGCGUCCAGCGAGUCCUGCCAUGGUCCGUCUACGAAGUGGCUGCGUCCACUGAGCCCUGCUAUGGUCCGUGUACGAGGUGGCUGCGUCCACCGAGCCCUGCUAUGGUUCGUGUACGAGGUGGCUGCAUUGGGGUAGCGUCCAGCGAGCCCUGCCAUGGUCCGUCUAGGAGGUGGAUGCACUAGGGAAGCGUCCAUCGAGCCCUGCCAUGGUCCGUGUACGAAGUGGCGUCUGGCCCGAUGAUUGUCCACUGUCACAAGGUUAAAAUGGAGAAAGCGAUAUCAGCAUAUGGGAUUUCAAGAGCCCUUGCCUAGUUGUGAUACCAUUGGGACUUAGGCCCUUUUAGGUCUUCAUCAGUCCUCGGUCUCCAAGUGACGUUGUGUAACUGGUCUAGAGUGCUAGAAACUAACACCCCACCACCCCAAGUGCUGUGGUUGUGGUACUAAGAGGCCAUCGUACAGGCUACGAAAGGGCAGUUUUCCAACAUUAAUGCCCGAAAGCAGAUACCAACAAUCCUAGCCCAAAUUUCUAAGAUGUGAAACACAAAAUGGAGCUAGCAACGAGCCACGUAGCCACUUUCAUUCAUGAUCGGACGUCCUAGCUGUCUUGGUUUUUAAGGACACAACUUAUCUGCCAAAAAAUUAAGUGAAUGUGGAACGGUAAUGAUACGAAGAGCAAUAUAUUUAAGAGGAAUACAAUCUAAUGUCUUUUGGAUAUUGAGAUUUUUUGCGGUUCAUGGGUCACGGAUAUGAGUCGGGUGUAAUUGCAUCUAUCAAGUUAUUUCAAUAGCUUGAGAGAACUGAUGUUUGGAAUGAUCAUUAAUAAUUCCAUAAAUGGUCAAUUGAAUAAGAUAUAUUGUGGUUCUGCCUCUACAGUUAUUAUAAUAAUCAUAAAAUGAUAUCCAGAUGCUUUUAUCCACAUUCUAAAUGCAGAUAGGUUUUAGCUCACAAAAACAUUGGUAUUGCCAACACUAAUGGUCGUCUGUGCUUUAUUUCAAUCUUAGUGAUGUAGUCAUUUUUCAAAUUUGUGCUUUUGAUGAUGUGGAAUUGUUCGUCAGUAUAGCGUUUGAGAAGAUCAUAACCCGCACACUAACAACCCUCACAACUUUGUAAAAUCUGACUUGAUGUAAAUGUUUUUACAUGAAGAGGUUUUACAUUGAUAGCUGGUGCAAAAUCUUUAAUGAAAUAUUUUACGUUUGAGAAAAUACUUCAUUAUAUUUUUUGCACGCAGUCUGCUCCUUGUGAGAGAUGGCUGGGUGCACACAGGCAUCUCUCAAGAUGGAGCAUCCCACAUUACUAACAUUACUAAUCUUAUGAUUUUCUCAAGUGUUAUAGUUGACAAACAUGUCCAGUUCAUCACAAAUGCACCUUUUCUCCGGAUCAAAAAA